AGGACGAACGCUGGCGGCGUGCUUAACACAUGCAAGUCGAGCGGAAAGGCCCUUCGGGGUACUCGAGCGGCGAACGGGUGAGUAACACGUGAGCAAUCUGCCUUUAGCUCUGGGAUAGCUCCGGGAAACCGGGAUUAAUACCGGAUAAGACCACUUUAGACAUCUGUUGUGGUGGAAAGAAUUUCGGCUAGAGAUGAGCUCGCGGCCUAUCAGCUUGUUGGUGGGGUAACGCCCACCAAGGCGACGACGGGUAGCCGGCCUGAGAGGGCGACCGGGCCACGACUGGGACUGAGACACGGCCCAGACUCCUACGGGAGGCAGCAGUGGGGAAUAUUGCGCAAUGGGCGAAAGCCUGACGCAGCGACGUCGCGUGGGGAUGAAGGCCUUCGGUUGUAAACCCUUUCAGCAGGGACGAAGCGAAAGUGACGGUACCUGCAGAAGAAGCGCCGGCUAACUACGUGCCAGCAGCCCG
rnacentral:rRNA from 1 species